ACUCAGCUGCUCAGGUUGGUCUCGCUGCCGAAAAUCCGAUUUUGCACAUUCGCCAAUUGGACUUGGGAGUCGGACGCGGUCGCUCGGUGUUUAAACAACGUUGUCGCGCUUGCCUAAUAAUAACCACUACAAUGAGUGACUACUAGCCUCCUAGGUGCUACAGAUUCCAGGUCAUCAUCGGUUGAGUGAACUCCAGUGCUCCAGACGCAAUGCGAUUGCUCUGGUUGCAGCUUCUAGCUGCUAUUUAUCUCACCAUAUUCAUGGAUUGUGCAACAGCCGCCAAGGCAUCGACAUCUCGAUCCCGUGGAGUUGCACAAUAUAAACUCCCACUGCCAGUGCCAACCAAUGAAGCAGCACAUAACCAGGGAGUGGGUGGGAAACCAGGAGAAGAUCAUGCCACGCGGCAGCCUCAGCAGCGCAGGCGUAUGCAGGUUAUCCGGCGAAGGAAACCUAUUGGAGGAAACUCUACAACCACCUCCACAACAACAUCAACAACUACAACAUCCACUACGACAACAACAACUCCCCGUCCCAGCUUGGCCAACGGCUUCAAUUUCCUAAAUCCCAGUUUCUGGAGCUUUGGCCAGCAGAGCCUGGUGGCAGUGCGUCCGCCCACCAAACAGCCCCAUCCGCCCAAGAAGUUCAAGCCCAAGGAGGAGAAGCUCAGUCAAAGGAAGCCGGCGAAAACCACCAACAAACCUAUAUCUGCUGGGAACUCAACCACAAAGAGAACCUCCGGCAGGACCUCCUCCACCUCCACCUCCACAACCACCAGUACGACGACGGGGAAACCCUCUACGGAUGGACCCUUUCGUAUAGCCCUGCCCACCUUGACCUUUCCCAGUGGCCAGGGCAAGGAGAGCGACAAGGAGAAGGGCAAACGGGCUACUGCCGAGCUGCGACUGAGGUUCGAUUGUCCGCGGGAGAAUGAGGUGCGGUUCCAACUCUUCCCGAAGAUCUGUAAGACGGACAGGGACUGCGCCGUCUGGCAGAGGGAUGAGCUGUGCUGCGACAUCUUCGGAGCCAGCAGCUGUGUGUCCGGGGUUCCUAAGCCCCUGGAGGAGGCUCCACAUGCUCCUAUUUUGGGCUUAAUACCCCGGAAAUGUCCGAGUAGACCUCUGGCAGAGCUCUGGUGGGAUGUACAGGAGUGUAACACGGACAUGGACUGCUGGCCCAGGGUCUGUUGUCCAGAUGGCCGGAGGCGCUACUGUCGCACCUCGCAGCCGGAGCUUGAAACCGCACCAGUGCCAGUGAAGCGCUCCUUCGAUUACCUUACCGAGUACUUGGAGUGCACAGCCCCACCUCCGCCCAUUUUCGAUCUUCAUCCGAAGGCCUGCACAUCCACGUUGGACUGUUUUCCCAACGUUUGCUGCCAGGAGGCGGGUCUCCGGCACUGUAGGCCCCCUAAGAAAUCCGUUCUCACACUGAUGGCCAACUUUCUGAACGUGGACUUUGUGAAGCGGUUGGCCCAAAACAUUGUUAUCAAGUAGGCUCCCCCCGAUUCCCACUAUUUUUUUUCCAUGGGUGUAGCCUAUAUUAGAACCGUUUCGACACUGCCGUGAUAUCUCCGUCCGUAUUUGUUUGUCCCCGCUGAUAACCAAAAACAAAAAUCGUCUAUACAUACAUACUGUUACUGCGUAGUCAGUUCACCCAACCGAUUCACUGUAAUCCUCCAUAAAUGUUCACCUAGCUUAGUAUUUAGACUUAAAUAAAUGCGAACUACUUAUAAACUUAAAUGACUAUUGAGGAGUUUUCUCAAUUCAAGGUUGAGUGUCCAGUGGCCAGAGGUUGUGGGGUCUUUCGUAACAUCACUCUGAAACUGUAGGUCACUCAUGUCAUGAACUUUAGUAAGUGGAAACCACUCUGUUCUUGUUCUUGACUCACUUUGCUGACAUAAUAAUUGUAAUUUUGUAUUGUAAGUGCAAUAAUUGUUUAUGUCUGGGGGUUGAGAAAUUAGUAAGCACUUAUUUACAGAAAUUGGAGAUGAUUUGAAGCUUGAAAACAGUCUGGAAAACAAUCCAGUUGGCAAUUUAUUACUCAUUUACGGAGGUGCUAAUGUCAGCUUAGAAGUGCAACAAAGUCAAGGAGAUUCUCUAAUGGAAUAAGAUCUAUUCAUGUGAACACCACUGUCUUCUUAGUCGCACGUCUCGAGAAAACUCAAGAAGUGCGGCCUGGGCUUUGAAACCCAAGCCCCAGCCAGACAAUAGAAGCGUCUCAGAUUACCCAACUGACUGCUUAUACA